rnacentral:rRNA from 1 species
GCCCAAGAGAUCGGGAUAACACCUGGAAACAGAUGCUAAUACCGGAUAACAACAGAUGAUGCCUAUCAACUGUUUAAAAGAUGGUUCUGCUAUCACUCUUGGAUGGACCUGCGGUGCAUUAGCUAGUUGGUAGGGUAACGGCCUACCAAGGCGAUGAUGCAUAGCCGAGUUGAGAGACUGAUCGGCCACAUUGGGACUGAGACACGGCCCAAACUCCUACGAGAGGCAGCAGCC